rnacentral:rRNA from 1 species
CCUUCGCCGAGUUGGCGGGGGACCACCAAGUGGUCAGGAUGAUUAUUGGGCCUAAAGCAUCCGUAGCCCGUUUUGUAAGUUUUCGGUUAAAUCCAUGCGCUUAACGUAUGGGCUGCCGGGAAUACUGCAUAACUAGGAAGUGGGAGAGGUAGACGGUACUCGGUAGGAAGGGGUAAAAUCCUUUGAUCUAUUGAUGACCACCUGUGGCGAAGGCGGUCUACCAGAACACGUUCGACGGUGAGGGAUGAAAGCUGGGGGAGCAAACCGGAUUAGAUACCCGGGUAGUCCCAGCUGUAAACUAUGCAAACUCAGUGAUGCAUUGGCUUAUGGCCAAUGCAGUGCUGCAGGGAAGCCGUUAAGUUUGCCGCCUGGGAAGUACGUACGCAAGUAUGAAACUUAAAGGAAUUGGCGGGGGAGCA